UUGCUCUCCCUGAGGCUGCCCUGGGGGAAAACCGUCACCCCGUUGAGGGCACUCAGGUGGCCGGAGGUAGACACCUGUGGUGAGGAACUGGACAGUCUGCCAACGAGCAUGCCAGCCUGCAUUCCUGGUCCACGUUCAAUGCCGACUAGGUUGUGUCAGAGACCAGAGAGUUGAUGGAGCCCCAGGGGAGUGCAGUGCAGGUGUAUGGGUGAGGCCCAGCCAGCUAAAGGACAACCAGGUCUGGCAGUCUUUCCUAAAAGGCUGUGGAGUAACCUAUCGCGUGGACGGACUGCUACACUUGGAUGAGCAUGUGGGUAGAGAAGCUGCCUCUACAUGAAACCAGGAGCCAGACAAAAAAGGAUUUGGCAAUUCCAGCAAUCACAGGCACGAGGAGAGCGUGACCUUAAACUGUGGGCACGACGUCAGCGCAAACCACGUCAGCCACGGAGGGACUUCACUGAGCAGCUGGCUCACGGGAAGCCUUGGCCCACUCGAGGAUCAGAGCAGAGAACACGGAAGAGAAAGAGCCAGGCCUGAAGCUGAGGACAGCUGAGACCCGGUCCUUUUCACAGAAACAGGAAGUGAAAUGCAGCCUGCAGUGGCAUGCAAAGCGGCCGCUAUUUCAGUCUGAAUCAUGAGCUGGGGGCCACGGUGGGCCACAGUGGGCCGUCUGAGCCCAGGAGUAAAAGAAGGAGGAAGAGGGGAAACUGCCCAGGCAACUGGACGGUGCCAGGCAGAGCUGCGCUGGGAGCUGGGCCAAGAAGCAGAAGUUUACAGCUUUUCCUUCCCUGCUGGAGCCCUGCAACAAUGAUCCUCUCCUCCUCACUCCCCACCCCUUCCCCAGGAAUCCUGCAGUCCCCUCGCUUGCCAAAGGACUGUAGGACACGGUCUCUCCCUCUGCAAAGCCUCGCGGCUCACUGCUGCGUUGCCACCUGGCUUCCGGCCUCUCCCCCGCCCCCGCCCCAGCCAAGGAGCUGGCAUCGCCCACCCCGGAGGGCAGGGCUGUGCCUGGGGUGGUGGCCAGCCACGUCUGUGACUCUGAGCCGCCCAUGUGCUCUGCGGCCGGCUUGGCGAGCACCUGCCAACAAUCCGGGUCUGGUUCAUUCUGCUUUCUUUGGCUUUUGAGAACUGGAGAGUUGGCCUUGUAACAGAUCGCAGAAAGCGCUAAUGGAAAGACUUCUCAGGCUUCCUCUUGAAGUGCCUUUCCUGGCUGUUUCUUGCUGAGUCGUUUUCCUCUCUCCGGCAUAUGCUGGCUCAUCUCUCCUUCGUGAACCCCCAACCCCCUUAACCUUGGCCUUGACACUCAGGCUCCUGUUCCUCCCUCCAGUGAUCAUCAGAGACCCAACUGCCUGGUAACCGAAGAAGCGGAAAGGAUAUUCAGAGAAACUAAAUUAUUUUGAUACUAGCUCAAGUCACACAAAUGUACAAAGUUGGCACUGAAUGUAUUUAACUUAAUUAAAA